GAUUAAGUACCUCUCUUUUAAAAGCUCGGCGAAACACACAUUUUCUGCAGCUGAUUAGCAAACAACCGCAAUACAGAAUUGACUUCUGACACCAUUAAGAGAAGGAAAUGCUGGAAUGAUUUGAGGUGUGAAUUUGAUGGAGGUGAAGACAAGAGCUCCUUGCUGGAGUGCGGUACCUUACUAGUCUCCAGCUUCCCAGAAUGAAGAAUCCCUGGGGAUGGGAGACUGUGUGGAGAGAGGAAGGAAGGGCACUUCCUUAGGGUGGACAGAAAGAUUCAAGGUGAGAGAAGCUUCAGCUCAGUGUAUCUGCCCACCUGUUUUAGCACAUGUUGAAUAGACACCAAAGAAGACACGAGAGGGUUGAGGUCCAGUCAGUCUGCUGAACAGAGAGUCACAGUGCCUCACAUUUGAGGCAUCCAGGCAGCCUCAGGAGUGUGCCAGCCUGUGGCUAAGGUUGGUGAGUCCCCAGUCCCCUUGAGUCCCACGGACUGAGAACUUCACAUCUGGAGAUCGGUGCUUCUCUUCGACCUCCAGGUGUGUGCUGUCCAGGGGCUGCCCCUGCCUUAAGCUGUGAGAAGUGCUGUCUGAAUUGCAAGAAUGACGUUCACUGAGAAGGAACGGGAGGAUGUUGAAACAGAGAGAGGCUUGUGGCAAGAGUCUGCAGUCCACUUUGCAGAAGUUUUACUGAGCGCUGAGGCCACUCC
rnacentral:lncRNA from 1 species